CCCCCCGUAGCUUAACGGAUAGAGCGACUCCCUUCUAAGGAGUAGGUUGCAAGUUCGAAUCUUGCCGGGGGGA
rnacentral:tRNA from 1 species